AAUAUCAAAGGUGAGCCAGUACAGGAUGGACCCGCGUCUGAUUAGCUAGUUGGUAAGGUAACGGCUUACCAAGGCGACGAUCAGUAGCCGACCUGAGAGGGGGAUCGGCCACAUUGGAACUGAGACACGGUCCAAACUCCUACGGGAGGCAGCAGUGGGGAAUAUUGCACAAUGGGCGAAAGCCUGAUGCAGCAACGCCGCGUGAGUGAUGAAGGCCUUCGGGUCGUAAAACUCUGUCCUCAAGGAAGAUAAUGACGGUACUUGAGGAGGAAGCCCCGGCUAACUACGUGCCAGCAGCCGCGGUAAUACGUAGGGGGCUAGCGUUAUCCGGAUUUACUGGGCGUAAAGGG
rnacentral:rRNA from 1 species